CUCUCUCUCUCUCAAGUUCUUAGAAGCAAAGCUCUCUCCAUUUUCUGAAACACUUUCUAUGUUCCUUUUACAACACGUUAUCAGCACGAAUAGCUCUACGAUUCGGAUUGCAGAUUGACAAGAGGAGAGGUGAAUAACUUGGGUUGCAGAGAAGAGGCAGUUCAUCUUUCAAUCAUCUUCACUCUACCAGCUCUACAACCAAAAGCUCAAAUCAAGCCCAAAGCCACAAUAACAAACCCGAGCCAGAAGCUCAGGCCCAAGCUACAAGACCAUAACAGAAGCUCGCCAUGUGUUGCCAUGACAAAGACCAGUUUGAGCCCAGCAGGCCUACUCUCCCUCUGCAGGACCUAGCAGCCCAGCAGGCCUCACACACUCUUUGACUAGUGCAUGAAAGCUUUGGUCACGAGCUCACAGCUAAGCCCCGUAGAGUUUAUUAUCAAGCCCACUCUUUCUUUGGUCCAGCAGAACCAAAUAAAAGAAAAAAUGAUUUGAUUCUACUGAGAUUUGAACCCAGACAAUGUGCAUGUCAUUAUGGCUAUUGUAAAUAAAUUCACCAUAUUUCAUAUGUGUAAUUAAUUGCCAGAAGCAUUUAUUCACAUAAUUGUGUGACAAUUAAUAUGUUAUAUUACUAGCAUGCAAUUAAUAUCUCAA